CGCAGUCAGGAUACUAUGGUGGAAAUACUUAUUCCCAUCCCGAACAUAACAGUCAAGCACUAUAGGCUCUUAUAGGCCUCUAGAAGAGAGCCUACUUGAGUUGACUGCGC
rfam:Mycoplasma wenyonii str. Massachusetts, complete genome.